GCAUUCUCAAACUUUGUUGAAGCAAAUAUGCAAUUGGGAGAGGAAGUGUAUUUACCUGGUGAUCAAAAGCUAGAGCCUUGUUUUGACUUUGAAGUUGAACAGAUUGAUGAUAAGACGUUUUUCCAUACCUUAAACUAUUCUGGCAGGCCGCUCUCUAGUUCGAGAUUGUGGAGUAUAUGUUGCUUGCUUUGCAGAGUAUAUUAUUGAAGAUCUUCCAA